GACGUAGGGCGCGAGCGUUGUCCGGAUUUAUUGGGCGUAAAGAGCUCGUAGGCGGCUUUGUCAGUCGGGUGUGAAACCUCCAGGCUCAACCUGGAGCCGCCACCCGAUACUGCAAUAGCUAGAGUCCGGUAGGGGAGCAUGGAACUCCUGGUGUAGCGGUGAAAUGCGCAGAUAUCAGGAAGAACACCAGUGGCGAAGGCGGUGCUCUGGGCCGGAACUGACGCUGAGGAGCGAAAGCGUGGGGAGCGAACAGG
rnacentral:rRNA from 1 species